rnacentral:rRNA from 1 species
GUUCACAUCGACGGGGAGGUUUGGCACCUCGAUGUCGGCUCAUCGCAUCCUGGGGCUGUAGUCGGUCCCAAGGGUUGGGCUGUUCGCCCAUUAAAGCGGUACGCGAGCUGGGUUCAGAACGUCGUGAGACAGUUCGGUCCCUAUCCGUCGUGGGCGUAGGAAAUUUGAGAGGAGCUGUCCUUAGUACGAGAGGACCGGGAUGGACAUACCUCUGGUGUACCAGUUGUCGCGCCAGCGGCAUAGCUGGGUAGCUAUGUAUGGACGGGAUAAGUGCUGAAAGCAUCUAAGCAUGAAGCCCCCCUCAAGAUGAGAUUUCCCAACUUCGGUUAUAAGAUCCCUCAAAGAUGAUGAGGUUAAUAGGUUCGGGGUGUAAGCGCAGUAAUGUGUGUAGCUGACGAAUACUAAUCGAUCGAAGACUUAAUCAAAUUUUA